AGAGUUUGAUCCUGGCUCAGGAUGAACGCUGGCGGCAUGCCUAAUACAUGCAAGUCGAACGAGAGGAAGGAAAGCUUGCUUUUCUGAAUCUAGUGGCGAACGGGUGAGUAACACGUAGGUAACCUGCCCAUGUGCCCGGGAUAACUUCUGGAAACGGAUGCUAAAACCGGAUAGGUAGCAGACAAGCAUUUGACUGCUAUUAAAGUGGCCUUGGCCAUGAACAUGGAUGGACCUGCGGUGCAUUAGCUGGUUGGUGAGGUAACGGCCCACCAAGGCGACGAUGCAUAGCCGGCCUGAGAGGGCGGACGGCCACAUUGGGACUGAGACACGGCCCAAACUCCUACGGGAGGCAGCAGUAGGGAAUUUUCGUCAAUGGGGGGAACCCUGAACGAGCAAUGCCGCGUGAGUGAGGAAGGUCUUCGGAUCGUAAAGCUCUGUUGUAAGAGAAAAACGGCACUCAUAGGGAAUGAUGAGUGAGUGAUGGUAUCUUACCAGAAAGUCACGGCUAACUACGUGCCAGCAGCCGCGGUAAUACGUAGGUGGCGAGCGUUAUCCGGAAUGAUUGGGCGUAAAGGGUGCGUAGGUGGCAGAUCAAGUCUGGAGUAAAAGGUAUGGGCUCAACCCGUACUGGCUCUGGAAACUGAUCAGCUAGAGAACAGAAGAGGACGGCGGAACUCCAUGUGUAGCGGUAAAAUGCGUAGAUAUAUGGAAGAACACCGGUGGCGAAGGCGGCCGUCUGGUCUGGAUUCUGACACUGAAGCACGAAAGCGUGGGGAGCAAAUAGGAUUAGAUACCCUAGUAGUCCACGCCGUAAACGAUGAGAACUAGGUGUUGGGGGAAUAACUCAGUGCCGCAGUUAACGCAGUAAGUUCUCCGCCUGGGGAGUAUGCACGCAAGUGUGAAACUCAAAGGAAUUGACGGGGGCCCGCACAAGCGGUGGAGUAUGUGGUUUAAUUCGACGCAACGCGAAGAACCUUACCAAGGCUUGACAUUGAGUGAAAGACCUAGAGAUAGGUCCCCUUCUUCGGAAGCACGAAAACAGGUGGUGCAUGGCUGUCGUCAGCUCGUGUCGUGAGAUGUUGGGUUAAGUCCCGCAACGAGCGCAACCC
rnacentral:rRNA from 1 species